AAUAGAUACCCAGGUAGUCCACGCCGUAAACGAUGUCGACUUGGAGGUUGUUCCCUUGAGGAGUGGCUUCCGGAGCUAACGCGUUAAGUCGACCGCCUGGGGAGUACGGCCGCAAGGUUAAAACUCAAAUGAAUUGACGGGGGCCCGCACAAGCGGUGGAGCAUGUGGUUUAAUUCGAUGCAACGCGAAGAACCUUACCUACUCUUGACAUCCAGAGAACUUAGCAGAGAUGCUUUGGUGCCUUCGGGAACUCUGAGACAGGUGCUGCAUGGCUGUCGUCAGCUCGUGUUGUGAAAUGUUGGGUUAAGUCCCGCAACGAGCGCAACCCUUAUCCUUUAUUGCCAGCGGUUAGGCCGGGAACUCAAAGGAGACUGCCAGUGAUAAACUGGAGGAAGGUGGGGAUGACGUCAAGUCAUCAUGGCCCUUACGAGUAGGGCUACACACGUGCUACAAUGGCACAUACAAAGAGAAGCGACCUCGCGAGAGCAAGCGGACCUCAUAAAGUGCGUCGUAGUCCGGAUUGGAGU
rnacentral:rRNA from 1 species